UUUAACUGCAACCUUGCUAUUCUGUCACAAAUGCUCUUUUUUCAGGUUCAGAUGGAACCCUUGUUUAGAAGAAAGGCUGAUGGCAGCUCAACCUGACUGAUACAAAGUGAUCCAUAAGCUGGUAUCGCCCCAGAAGGGUCAACCAUCUCUGAUGACUGGUGCUGAACUGAGCAACCAAGAACUCCAGAAAAAUCGUACCUUCUUAUACUGGACCAUGCAAAUACACAGGGGAACUAAUUGGUGUGGAGUAUUUGUACAAUCAGUUCUCCAUGACUACGGUGCCAUGAUUGAGAGGUUGGAGGCUGGCUCUGAUCUGUCUAUUGAAUUGGAGGAAGAUGAGGGAUUUGCUGACACCGAAUGGUUUCAGUAUCUAAGAGUUCCAACACUGGACAGAGAGAACCUUCCUGCAGCUGUUUCAGGCCAAUUGCUCGUAUCAAGCUGCGAUGUAGCCUGUGAGAAUCGCAGACACAAUUC